rnacentral:rRNA from 1 species
UAAGCGGUGGAAAAGAAACUAACAAGGAUUCCCCUAGUAGCGGCGAGCGAAGCGGGAAGAGCUCAAAUUUAUAAUCUGGCACCUUCGGUGUCCGAGUUGUAAUCUCUAGAAGUGUUUUCCGCGUUGGACCGCACACAAGUCUGUUGGAAUACAGCGGCAUAGUGGUGAAACCCCCGUAUAUGGUGCGGACGCCCAGCGCUUUGUGAUACACUUUCAAUGAGUCGAGUUGUUUGGGAAUGCAGCUCAAAUUGGGUGGUAAAUUCCAUCUAAAGCUAAAUAUUGGCGAGAGACCGAUAGCGAACAAGUACCGUGAGGGAAAGAUGAAAAGCACUUUGGAAAGAGAGUUAACAGUACGUGAAAUUGUUGGAAGGGAAACGCUUGAAGUCAGACUUGCUUGCCGGAGCUUGCUUCGGUUUGCAGGCCAGCAUCAGUUUUCCGGGGUGGAUAAUGACGGUUUGAAGGUAGCAGUCUCGGCUGUGUUAUAGCUUUCCGUUGGAUACAUCCUGGGGGACUGAGGAACGCAGCGUGCUUUUGCGAAAGACUCGUCU